UGGGGAAUUUUGGACAAUGGGCGCAAGCCUGAUCCAGCCAUGCCGCGUGUCUGAAGAAGGCCUUCGGGUUGUAAAGGACUUUUGUCAGGGAAGAAAAGGACAGGGUUAAUACCUCUGUUUGAUGACGGUACCUGAAGAAUAAGCACCGGCUAACUACGUGCCAGCAGCCGCGGUAAUACGUAGGGUGCGAGCGUUAAUCGGAAUUACUGGGCGUAAAGCGAGCGCAGACGGUUACUUAAGCAGGAUGUGAAAUCCCCGGGCUCAACCUGAGAACUGCGUUCUGAACUGGGUGACUAGAGUGUGUCAGAGGGAGGUAGAAUUCCACGUGUAGCAGUGAAAUGCGUAGAGAUGUGGAGGAAUACCGAUGGCGAAGGCAGCCUCCUGGGAUAACACUGACGUUCAUGCUCGAAAGCGUGGGUAGCAAACAGGAUUAGAUACCCUGGUAGUCCACGCCCUAAACGAUGUCAAUUAGCUGUUGGGCAACUUGAUUGCUUAGUAGCGUAGCUAACGCGUGAAAUUGACCGCCUGGGGAGUACGGUCGCAAGAUUA
rnacentral:rRNA from 1 species